UCUCUAUCUGGAGGUUAUCCCUCUUGGAGUUCUUCUGCAAGCCUAGGACAUGGCAAAAUUAAACUUUGUAGUUGAAUGCCCAGACUUGUCUGAAGUUCAGAAGUUUACAGGAAACACACAGUCAGAUGAGUAGAAAACAUAAGUCUAAUCCUAAAGUCAGCAGCUGAAUCUGUCCUGUUGAAGGUUGAUUCAUCACUGGUAGUGCUGCUUUCCUCUUCUGCAAAUUAAAUCUGGAUCUGCUCUCAAAAGGGAUGUGCACCUUUCAAGAGAAAGGAUGGAAGUUGGCUUGCCUGGUCAAGGAAAUGCAGAGAAGAGUUGUUUUUUGUCCAGAGUGAUUACAGUUUUCCAAUUAUUUUCAUGAUUGUGUAAAGGUAAAAGUGCUAACUGCACAUGCAUUUCUUAAUAUUUCAUUUUCGAAAGCAUGUUUAAUCAAGUUUUAUGAAUUACCAUUUUCUGGCUGUGGAACAUGUUCAUAUAUGUUAGAUUAAUGUCACCGUUCCAGGGCUGGCAUUAAUCAAAAUAAGAAAUCUUUCAUAACAUGCUAAUGUAUUGCUUAAUUUUAUUGUGAAAUGUUGUUUACAGACCAGCAGAACACACUAAUGGAUUUUUGCAUCCCUACACAAGAAAUUAUCACAUUGACAAUGUAAUGAAUUGUUUUAAACUUAAGUACUGUUGCCCCAUCAUAAUUUGGUGGGAGUUGUGGGUUAUUGAAGUAUUAAUUUGACUUAGUUUAAUUUGGACAGAAGACAUUUUAUUAGUUAUUGUUCCCAUAAUAAAUCAUCUGUGUGAUAAUCCUGUAUGCUGCAGAAAAUGAGCACAAGUCAUUUAUCUCAUUUGGAUGGCCACAUUUAUGAUCCAUUUCUGGAAAGUAAAAUGGCAGCUACGCCAAAAUAAAGUAAAAUGAGGAACAGUGAUUGUUGCACAUUACUUUUUCUGAGUCUGGAGAGAGACAUAAAGCAAGCGCUGAUGGGAAAUUAGAGUUAGAUCAGGGGAAAGCAUCACUAUGUAGUCUUCUGCUUCAUGCUUGUUUCUUCACUUUUGGCUUGAGCAAAACUGUUACUAGAAGCAGAGUUUUUUAUCAGUGUAUGGAAUCCCAAGUAAAAUUCAGGCCACUGUUAUGUGAUGACACUUUGUAUUUAUACAAAUGGAUCUGUUUUCUAAAUCGAUCUCUUAUCAGUGGCUUUAAAGCAGUAUGCUUGUUAUGUAAAUGAAGCAGGCUUAAAGUUUUUUUUAGGGAGAUGCCUGAAUUUCAGCUCAAAUUAGGUACUGAGUUAAAGAUGUGGAAUUGAUCCAAAACAAUGUCCACUGAACUGAGAUCAUUAGAACUCAUCCUCAGUACAGCAGAGUACAUCUAGUGAAAUGGGAGUCUGGAGGAGAUUCAUAGGAACAUUAGCAGAAAAUAAAACGUAGUAACUCAAAGAAUUAUGGUUAAAAUGAUAAUCCCUUGUAUUUUUUUCUAUUACUUGGCCUUCAAAUGUCAAACUAGAUACAUUCUUUAAGAAUUAAGCAUGUAAUCAUCUAAUAAAAGACAGGUAGUUGAAGGAAUAAAAUUGACUCUAUGUUUAACCUUAAUUUAUUACUGUAUGCAAUUAUAUAUACAUUUAUCACUUUGAUUACUGUCAAUAAUCUGAUGGCUCUAUAGCCUUCAAGCAUGUAUAAGCAUUUAAAGUGCAUUCAGAUAUAUACGAUGUACAAUGUGUAUGAAGACUAAAACAUGUUAUAAUGCAUGCCUUUAGAGUUGUUUUGAUACUUAAACUCUACUAAUUCUGUUUUCAGUAGUGUAUAAAAUCAGGCAUUUGUUCCUCCUGUUUUUUUCUUUGUGGAAAAAUUAAACGGAACGUAAAACAAGUUUUCAGCCCAGUAUAUACAGUUGUUCUCUCUUAGGCUGCGUGUUAGGAAACCAACUUCUUACAGCAUUUCUGUUGCUACUCAUAUUUUGCAAAUAGUGAGUAGUAUGUCAAAAUGCAGAAUUUUAAAUAUGAAGUGAGACAUUUCUGGCUCUAAAAAGUUGAAUGCAAUUUUAACAAGCUAAAUUCUGUAUCUGCUUUAAUAUACGACUUAGUGGCAAAGAUGCUUUUUUCCAUUUGGUCACCAAAAUGUGUUGUAUAGUAUGAGGCACUUGUUGCUAAACUUGCAUAGCAUCUAAACAUUAUCUGCUUUGAUUGAACUCAUUUUUGAUAGCUGAGGUUUGCACAGAGUGCUAAGUUCUAGUGUCCUGAGUUUGUUUGAUAUCUAAUGUGUUUUAUCUGCAUAUCUGUCCACAUCUCUCUCCUGUGUGCAAUAACGGGGUAACGAUACUCAAACUACAGUGCAUUUGAGAAGAUGAGCUUAUUUCAAAAUGCGCUAUAACUGGGAUAGAAUAUAACUCCCUGAAGAAAUAAUUUUGCAUAGCUUUUGAAUUUUGGCAGUAUUUGGUAGAGGUAGCCUUGUUCCAUAGGAAAUGAAAAUGGAAAAAAUAAUGUAUAAACGCUGUGGCAAUAUGGCGGUGACUUCGCUGAACUGUAUAGAAUAUAAAUGAUAAUGCUCUAGUCCUUUCACAGAGAUUCCAAAGAAAAGUUGCUCUUAAAUUGUUGUAAGGAAAUUGCUGCCAUACAUUUUGGAUAUCAAAUAUUUUUGCUAGCAGGAGAGUAGUAAACACCCCAUGUUCUCUCACGUUAAUUGCAAAUAAUUCUUCUUAAAGGUAACAUUUGUUAGUAAAUUUAUAGUCCACUUGUUUUAAUAAACAUAAAUUUUAU
ensembl:lncRNA